rnacentral:rRNA from 1 species
GAGUUUGAUCAUGGCUCAGGAUGAACGCUGGCGGCGUGCUUAACACAUGCAAGUCGAACGAACCUUCGGGUUAGUGGCGGACGGGUGAGUAACGCGUGGGAAUCUGCCCUCAGGAGGGGGAUAACGGCUGGAAACGGCCGCUAAUACCCCCAUAUGCCGAGAGGUGAAAUGAAUUUCGCCUGAGGAUGAGCCCGCGUCUGAUUAGCUAGUUGGUGAGGUAAGAGCUCACCAAGGCAUCGAUCAGUAGCUGGUCUGAGAGGAUGAUCAGCCACACUGGGACUGAGACACGGCCCAGACUCCUACGGGAGGCAGCAGUGGGGAAUUUUCCGCAAUGGGCGAAAGCCUGACGGAGCAACGCCGCGUGAGGGAUGAAGGCCUC